GCCGGGUGCGGUGGUGCACACCUGUAAUCCCAGCAACUCAGGAGGGUGGGGCAGGAGGAUCACAAGUUCAAAGCCAGCCUCAGCAACUUAGGGAGGCCCUAAACAACUAAGUAAAAUACAAAAAAAGUGAGACCCUGUCUCUA
rnacentral:sRNA from 1 species